UGGGGAAUUGUUCGCAAUGGGCGAAAGCCUGACGACGCAACGCCGCGUGGAGGACGAAGAUCUUCGGGUCGUAAACUCCUGUCGAGUGGGAAGAACACCUCCGGGGUGAAUAAUCCGGGAGGCUGACGGUACCACUAAAGGAAGCCCCGGCUAACUCCGUGCCAGCAGCCGCGGUAAUACGGGGGGGGCAAGCGUUGUUCGGAAUUACUGGGCGUAAAGGGCUCGUAGGCGGCCAACUAAGUCAGACGUGAAAUCCCCAGGCUCAACCUGGGAACUGCGUCUGAUACUGGAUGGCUUGAAUUCGGGAGAGGGAUGCAGAAUUCCAGGUGUAGCGGUGAAAUGCGUAGAUAUCUGGAGGAAUACCGGUGGCGAAGGCGGCAUCCUGGACCGACAUUGACGCUGAUGAGCGAAAGCUAGGGGAGCAAACGG
rnacentral:rRNA from 1 species